rnacentral:lncRNA from 1 species
CUGAAGAAGAGAUGUUUGCCUGAUGUCAGGAUGAUACAUUUGACCUUGCGCUUUCAUCCAGCACAGAGGGAAGAUUUCGAGAAUGAUCGCUCCAUACAAAAGGACAGUCUGAGAGCCGGCUGGGAUUGAAUGGGCGGAGCUGUGCCUCUUAUAUGGAGUCACAGAGACAUUUACGGCUAUGCGCGCCACCAGUUUACUUCAAAACCCCGCCGUCGAGUGCAAUGCUUUACAGUGGACAUAAAGCAGGAGAUGUUCAACAUCAUCACCGAUAAAUCUCGAAAUCAAAGCAAACCCAAAUGGAAGCAGAAACAAGUUCACAAGCUCUGAAAUUUGAUGUCGUCAGCAUCAACAUCCUGACAAAAUUCCAGUUCCUUUGUGGUUUUUUUGUUAAUCAUACAUAUUGUACAUCAUAAAUACCACCGGCCCUUUGUUUACUGUGAAAUCAAUUCCCCCAUCGCUUUACAUCAGACAGUAAACAGUGAUUUGGUGAAGAGGAUGUGAUGAAUGUCGCACAGCAGCUCAGGGGAGCGUCAUGUAAACGUGUGGAGAUCAGGAUCGUCCCCGGAGCCCAAUCCUCUACAGUCCUCGGGUUGAAGAGCCCAAGACGAAUAAAGACGACUGCCUGCCAAAGCAGAGCCCACGGGACACACGCUUUAUUAAAAAUAAGCGAGGAGGCAGCAUGAGACAUUAUGAAGAACAGAGCUGAAGUCUCCACCAGCUGGGAUAUUAUUAUGGCACACGUGCAGAAGACGACGACCUUUAUCAACGGAAGCGUCUGAAUCGAGUAGUGAUGAGUCGUCAAAUGUUGGGUGUUCAGAUUGUGUAUGUACACUACCGGUCAAAAGUUUGGUGUCAGUAGGAUUUUGAAAUGUUUUAAAAUAAGCUUCUCCUGCUCACCAAGGCUGCAUUUAUUUGAUCAAAAAUACAGUACAAACUUUACAAUUGUGAAAUGUUACUGCGCUAUAACUGUUCAAAAGGAGAUUAUCAUUUAAUUUAAUAAUUUAUUCCAGUGGUUCAGAGUCAUGUGAUCCUUUAAAAAUCACUCUAAUAUUAAUUCCUUUUCUUCUUCUUCUUCUUCUUCUUCUUCUUCUUCUUCUUCUUCUUCUUAUUAUUAUUAUUAUUAUUAUUAUUAUUAUUAUUAUUAAUGGUAAUAGUAGUACAAGUAACAAUGAUGAAGUAAUAAUUUCUUUUAAAACCACAUACAAUAGGAAAGCAGUUUUUUUAUUAAUUAUUUUUUUAAUUAUUUAAUAAAUUGCACCUUGAUAAACAAAAAUAAUUUUCUUAAAAAAAUAAAAAAUAAAAAAACUGACCCCAAACUUUUAACCAGUAGUGUAUAUACAAUAUUAUUUGGACUUUAUGAUCAACAGAAUGUAUGUAGGUGAUUUUCUGGAUGUUGUCUGUGGAGGUUUGUCUCGCACAUUUGCAAGUGUCAGAUUUGUAAUCUCUCCUUUUUUGUAACCGAUCAGGCACUGUGGGAUGUUCACUUUGCUUCACAAUAAAAUGAAAAAUGUGUUCUUGAGUUAUUUGUCAAAUGAUUCUUUUUAAAAAUUAAAUUAAUUUAUUAUGCAAAUAAAUAUCUUAUUUACUUUAAGCUAAGUAUUAAGCUACUAUGCUGGAUUUAACUUCCAGAAAUGUGCUUCAACAUUAGGUACAUUCAAAUUAAGACUGAAAACACAUCUGUUUAGCUGUGCCUUUACUGAAUGAGCACUGUGCUACAUCCUACAGAUCACACUAUUAUGUCUUUCAUUUCCUUUUUUAUUAUUUUUAUAGCCUGUUUUUACACAAUUUUAUUUUUAUGUUUUUACUAUCUUGUUUAUGUAAAGACUUUGAAUUACUUUUAAAUGUGCUAAAUAAACUUUCCUUGCCUAAAAUUUAUAUAGUUGAAGUCAGAAUUAUUAGCCUUCCUUUUUCCUUUUUAAAUAUUUCCCAAAUUAUGUUUUAACAUAAUUUCCUUCCUCAUACUGCUAUCACAGUAUGUCUGAAAAUAUUUUUUUCUUCUGGA